rnacentral:rRNA from 1 species
GAGUUUGAUCUUGGCUCAGGACGAACGCUGGCGGCGUGCUUAACACAUGCAAGUCAAGGGGGCCCAGCAAUGGGCAACCGGCGAACGGGUGCGUAACACGUGAGCAACCUACCGAGAUAUGGGGGAUAGCCGGCCUAACGGCCGAGUAAUACCGCAUACGCUCUCGAUGAGGCAUUUCAUUGAGAGGAAACCUACGGGGUAUUUCGAGGGGCUCGCGGCCUAUCAGCUAGUUGGCGAGGUAACGGCUCACCAAGGCAACGACGGGUAGCUGGUCUGAGAGGAUGGCCAGCCACAUUGGGACUGAGAUACGGCCCAGACCCCUACGGGAGGCAGCAGUGGGGAAUCUUGCGCAAUGGCCUAACGGCUGACGCAGCGACGCCGCGUGUGGGAUGAAGCUCUUCGGAGUGUAAACCACUGUUGCCCGGGACGAAUAGCUCGAUUAAUCGAGCCUAACAGUACCGGGUGAGGAAGCACCGGCUAACUCCGUGACAGCCGCCGCAGUAAC